rnacentral:rRNA from 1 species
GACGAACGCUGGCGGCGUGCUUAACACAUGCAAGUCGAACGGAAAGGCCCUUCUUUUGUGUGGUGCUCGAGUGUCGAACGGGUGAUUAACACGUGAGUAACCUGCCCUUGACUUUGGGAUAACUUCAGGAAACUUGGUCUAAUACCUGAUCGGAGCUCCUGCUGCAUGGUGGGGGUUGGAAAGUUUCGGCGGUUGGGGUUGGACUCGCGGCUUAUCAGCUUGUUGGUGGGGUAGUGGCUUACCAAGGCUUUGACGGGUAGCCGGCCUGAGAGGGUGACCGGCCACAUGGGGACUGAGAGACGGCCCAGAGUCCUACGGGAGGCAGCAGGGGGGAAUAUUGCACAAUGGGCGGAAGCCUGAGGCAGAAACGCCGCGUGCGGGAUGACGGCCUGCGAGUUGUAAACCGCUGUCGCCUGUGACGAAGCGUGAGUGACGGUAAUGGGUAAAGAAGCACCGGCUAACUACGUG